rnacentral:tRNA from 1 species
GCCUGUGUGGUGUAGUGGUUUGAGCAUUGGACUAGCACUAGAGGCCAGGGUUUGAAUCCCUGCUUGGCCA